CCCUAUAGAAAAUCCCCUAUGGAAAAUCCCAGUUCCCCUAUAGAAAGUUCCAGAUUCCUGUGGCCGAAGCUCCCGGAUCAGAGCCCAGGGUCGAUUUCCCAUCUUGAAUUUAAUUAAAAUUUCCUCGUUUCUCUCCUUUAAUUAAACUCUAAUAAAGAUUUUAAUUGAAAUAAAA